ensembl:lncRNA
AAAAUAACUGAGUUGUUCAUAUACCGGUGGCUAGCUAGCUCCGCGUUAGCCACCGGUAUAUGUCUCUUCCCCUCGUAUGCGGGGAAAGAAACACCGAUCGACCGGUGGUGGCUAACGCGGAGCUCAAUCGUGGAUAAGGGGAACCCAAUGCAGGAGAAGCAGGCGGCUGGUGAACUGAAUUUCAGUAAUCCUUCAGACGUCUGUUUCCACACUGCCAUAAACUGCCUUGUUCAGUCACUGCUGCUCGCAGUUUCACCACUUUGCUCACCUGCCUACCUACCUGCCCUGUUCACUGACAACCACGGAUCUGUGUACUGGACUUCCUUCACUCCUCACCCGGAGCACCUACCCCUCUAUGCUUCGCCCGCACCUGCCAAAACGACUCUGAGAAUCCUGCUUUGUAAUUACCCUUUGCCCCGAACUACGGAGUUCCUGCACUGGAUGUUACCCAAUGUCGGGGUCCCAGGCUUCUGUCCUCACCAACCAAAGAGCUCAUUCAAAGGACUCUCUUACAGUUCACUUAGUGACUGCCUAGCUCAUGAGUCACAGUUCAGCACUCUUGUGACUCUCAUAGUGCUGUUCAAGUGCAUCAUAACUAUUAUUCUAGUAGAAUAGAAUUACUUUGCGCUGCGGGUUCAUAGUUUGCUUUAUUGUCUCUCGCUCUUAGUUCAUGGCUAACUCGCUAAGUGCUUGUUGCAUUUGUUUUUGCUUUUUGUCACAUAUUGCUCUCUGUAAUAAAAGUCACACAUACA